rnacentral:rRNA from 1 species
AACCUGGUUGAUCCUGCCAGUAUGAUACGCUUCUCUUAAUGAUUUAGCCAUGCAUGUCUAAGUAUCGUGAUUAUAGUGCAAAACUGCGAAUGGCUCAUUAUAACAGUUGUAAUUUGAUUGAUUUGACUUUUAAAUGGAUAUCCCUGGUACAUCCAGGGCUAAUACAUGCCUGAACGGAUUUAAUCCGUGCUUUGAGAACUAUACAAACACGAGUUUGUGAAUGUGUCUCACCAAGUAAAUCAUUUUGAUAAAUCAAAGAAGCUUCUGACCCAUCAGCUUUGAUGGUAGUGUAUUGGACUACCAUGGCUUCUACGGGUGACGAGGAAUUAGGGUUCGAUUUCGGAGAGGGAGCUUGAGAAAUGGCUACCACAUCUAAGGGAGGCAGCAGGCGCGCAAAUUACCCAAUCCUGACCAAGGGAGGUAGAGACGAGCAGUAGCAAUGAGAAGCCUUUGGUUUCUCAAUUGGAAUGGGUGUGUGUUAAAUCUUCACACGAGUAACCAUUGGAGGGAAAGUCUGGUGCCAGCAGCCGCGGUAAUUCCAGCUCCAAUAGCGUAUUUUAAAGUUGUUGCGGUUAAAACGUUCGUAGUCGUAUUUCUGCUUAGGGUGUUUCCUUUCCAAAGGGGACAUUCGAGCAUUAGUGUGGGCGGUUUUCGUCACUUAACUGUGCCGUAGCAUAAACCCGCACUGAUUAUUUUGAGGAAAUUAGAGUGUUUAAAACAAGCAUGGUUAUGAAUAUAAUAGCAUGGGACAAUGUGAAACGGGGACGAGAUUGGCGUGGCUUUUGGCUCGGCCCAAUUUUCAAAAGGAGCAUUUGGGGGUAUUCGUAUUGAGCUGCUAGAGGUGAAAUUCUUGGAUUUUUUUAAGACGAACAAAUGCGAAAGCAUUUACCAAGGAUGUUUUCAUUGAUCAAGAACGAUAGUUAGGGGAUCGAAGACGAUUAGAUACCGUCCUAGUCUUAACAGUAAACUAUGCCGACUAAGGAUUUGUAAAUGUGAUUAUCACUUUAUAAGUACUUUAUGAGAAAUCAAAGUCAUCGGGUUCUGGGGGGAGUAUGGUCGCAAGUCUGAAACUUAAAGGAAUUGACGGGAGGGCACCACCAGGAGUGGAGCCUGCGGCUUAAUUUGACUCAACACGGAGAACCUUACUAGGUCCAGACAGGGGAGGGAUUGACAGUUUGAUAGCGCUUUCUUGAUUCUUUGGGUGGUGGUGCAUGGCCGUUCUUAGUUGGUGGAGCGAUUUGUCUGGUUAAUUCCGUUAACGAACGAGACCUUUACUAUCUAAAUAGCACAAUAUAACAAGAUUAUGCUGUUGUUUCUUAGAAGGACUACUUGCUUUUUCAGCAAGGGGAAGCUUAAGGCAAUAACAGGUCUGUGAUGCCCUUAGAUGAUCUAGGCUGCACGCGCGCUACAAUGGUACGUUCAACGUGCAUUCCUCCUCCGAAAGGGGUUGGUAAGCAGUAAUGCGUAUCGUGUUUGGAAUAGACCAUUGCAAUUUUUGGUUUUAAACGAGGAAUUCCUAGUAAGCGCGAGUCAUAAGCUGGUGCUGAUUACGUCUCUGCCCUUUGUACACACCGCCCGUCGCUCCUACCGAUUGAGCAAUCCGGUGAAUAAUUUGGAUCCGCUGCAUCUGGUCAACAGUGUGCGUGCGGAGAAAUUUCGUAAACCUUAUUGUUUAGAGGAAGGAAAAGUCGUAACAAGGUUUCCGUAGGUGAACCUGCAGAAGGAUC